CCUACGGGCGGCAGCAGUGGGGAAUAUUGGACAAUGGGGGCAACCCUGAUCCAGCCAUGCCGCGUGUGUGAAGAAGGCCCUCGGGUUGUAAAGCACUUUCAGUGAGGAAGAACGCCUGGUGGUUAAUACCCAUCAGGAAAGACAUCACUCACAGAAGAAGCACCGGCUAACUCCGUGCCAGCAGCCGCGGUAAUACGGAGGGUGCGAGCGUUAAUCGGAAUUACUGGGCGUAAAGCGCGCGUAGGUGGCUUGAUAAGCCGGUUGUGAAAGCCCCGGGCUCAACCUGGGAACGGCAUCCGGAACUGUCAAGCUAGAGUGCAGGAGAGGAAGGUAGAAUUCCCGGUGUAGCGGUGAAAUGCGUAGAGAUCGGGAGGAAGACCAGUGGCGAAGGCGGCCUUCUGGACUGAAACUGACACUGAGGUGCGAAAGCGUGGGUAGCAAACAGGAUUAGAUACCCCUGUAGUC
rnacentral:rRNA from 1 species